rnacentral:rRNA from 2 species
AGGGUUCGAUUCUGGCUCAGGAUGAACGCUGGCGGCGUGCUUAACACAUGCAAGUCGAACGGGAUCCAUCAGGCUUUGCUUGGUGGUGAGAGUGGCGAACGGGUGAGUAAUGCGUGACCGACCUGCCCCAUACACCGGAAUAGCUCCUGGAAACGGGUGGUAAUGCCGGAUGCUCCAGUUGAUCGCAUGGUCUUCUGGGAAAGCUUUCGCGGUAUGGGAUGGGGUCGCGUCCUAUCAGCUUGACGGCGGGGUAACGGCCCACCGUGGCUUCGACGGGUAGCCGGCCUGAGAGGGCGACCGGCCACAUUGGGACUGAGAUACGGCCCAGACUCCUACGGGAGGCAGCAGUGGGGAAUAUUGCACAAUGGGCGCAAGCCUGAUGCAGCGACGCCGCGUGAGGGAUGGAGGCCUUCGGGUUGUAAACCUCUUUUAUCGGGGAGCAAGCGAGAGUGAGUUUACCCGUUGAAUAAGCACCGGCUAACUACGUGCCAGCAGCCGCGGUAAUACGUAGGGUGCAAGCGUUAUCCGGAAUUAUUGGGCGUAAAGGGCUCGUAGGCGGUUCGUCGCGUCCGGUGUGAAAGUCCAUCGCUUAACGGUGGAUCCGCGCCGGGUACGGGCGGGCUUGAGUGCGGUAGGGGAGACUGGAAUUCCCGGUGUAACGGUGGAAUGUGUAGAUAUCGGGAAGAACACCAAUGGCGAAGGCAGGUCUCUGGGCCGUUACUGACGCUGAGGAGCGAAAGCGUGGGGAGCGAACAGGAUUAGAUACCCUGGUAGUCCACGCCGUAAACG